rnacentral:rRNA from 1 species
CCCUUAGAUGUUCUGGGCAGCACGCGCGCUACAAUGGUCUUCGCAAACUGAUGCAUUCUCGAAGGAGAAUGCCAAUCUUGGAAUCUAUGCCUUGGUCGGGACAGUUGCUUGCAAUUUUUCGACUCGAACCAGGAAUUCCUUGUAAUCGUGAUUCAUCACAUCACGAUGAAUACGUCCCUGCCCUUUGUACACACUGCCCGUCGCUCCUACCGAUCGAAGAGUUAGGUGAAUUGUUUUGAUCGAUAAGAUUUGACUAUGGUCAACUCUCGUUGUGAAAUUCUGUGAAUCUGACUGUUUAGAGGAAGGAAAAGUCGUAACA